GAUGAACGCUGGCGGCGUGCCUAAUACAUGCAAGUCGAGCGAACAGACGAGGAGCUUGCUCCUCUGACGUUAGCGGCGGACGGGUGAGUAACACGUGGAUAACCUACCUAUAAGACUCGGAUAACUUCGGGAAACCGGAGCUAAUACCGGAUAACAUGUUGAACCGCAUGGUUCAACAGUGAAAGACGGUCUUGCUGUCACUUAUAGAUGGAUCCGCGCCGCAUUAGCUAGUUGGUAAGGUAACGGCUUACCAAGGCAACGAUGCGUAGCCGACCUGAGAGGGUGAGCGGCCACACUGGAACUGAGACACGGUCCAGACUCCUACGGGAGGCAGCAGUAGGGAAUCUUCCGCAAAGGGCGAAAGCCUGACGGAGCAACGCCGCGUGAGUGAAGAAGGUCUUCGGAUCGUAAAACUCUGUUAUUAGGGAAGAACAAAUGUGUAAGUAACUAUGCACGUCUUGACGGUACCUAAUCAGAAAGCCACGGCUAACUACGUG
rnacentral:rRNA from 1 species